rnacentral:rRNA from 1 species
CCUACGGGUGGCAGCAGUGGGGAAUAUUGGGCAAUGGGCGCAAGCCUGACCCAGCAACGCCGCGUGAAGGAAGAAGGCUUUCGGGUUGUAAACUUCUUUUGUCAGGGACGAAGCAAGUGACGGUACCUGACGAAUAAGCCACGGCUAACUACGGGCCAGCAGCCGCGGUAAUACGUAGGGGGCAAGCGUUAUCCGGAUUUACGGGGUGUAAAGGGCGUGUAGGCGGGACUGCAAGUCAGAUGGGAAAACCACGGGCUCAACCUGUGGCCUGCAUUUGAAACUGUAGUUCUUGAGUACUGGAGAGGCAGCCGGCUUUCCUAGUGUAGCGGUGAAAUGCGUAGAUAUUAGGAGGAACACCAGUGGC